rnacentral:rRNA from 1 species
GACGGACGCUGGCGGCGUGCUUAACACAUGCAAGUCGAACGGAAAGGCCCUGCUUUUGUGGGGUGCUCGAGUGGCGAACGGGUGAGUAACACGUGAGUAACCUGCCCUUGACUUUGGGAUAACUUCAGGAAACUGGGGCUAAUACCGGAUAUGAGCUCCUGCUGCAUGGUGGGGGUUGGAAAGUUUCGGCGGUUGGGGAUGGACUCGCGGCUUAUCAGCUUGUUGGUGGGGUAGUGGCUUACCAAGGCUUUGACGGGUAGCCGGCCUGAGAGGGUGACCGGCCACAUUGGGACUGAGAUACGGCGCAGACUCCUACGGGAGGCAGCAGUGGGGAAUAUUGCACAAUGGGCGGAAGCCUGAUGCAGCAACGCCGCGUGCGGGAUGACGGCCUUCGGGUUAUAAACCGCUUUGGCCUGUGACGAAGAGUGAGUGACGGUAAUGGGUAAAGAAGCACCGGCUAACUACGUG